AGGAUGAACGCUGGCGGCGUGCUUAACACAUGCAAGUCGAACGAUGAAGGCUGGAGCUUGCUCUGGCUGGAUUAGUGGCGAACGGGUGAGUAACACGUGAGUAACCUGCCCCAGACUCUGGGAUAAGCGCUGGAAACGGCGUCUAAUACCGGAUACGAGCUUCCACCGCAUGGUGAGGAGCUGGAAAGAAUUUCGGUCUGGGAUGGACUCGCGGCCUAUCAGCUUGUUGGUGGGGUAAUGGCUCACCAAGGCGACGACGGGUAGCCGGCCUGAGAGGGUGACCGGCCACGACUGGGACUGAGACACGGCCCAGACCU
rnacentral:rRNA from 1 species